UCAAAAGAUGAAAUUAUGGCUUCCAUCAGAGUUCACCAUUCAAGCAAUGUUGAUGAUGGUGGGGCUUUCAAGUUUAGCUUUCUUCUCCAAUGUUGAUUUCCCUGUUCCAAUGAUGACAACAGCUUCAAAGAUUGAAUCUCAAGGGAGAGCUCUUCUUCAAUGGAAGGCCACCCUUGAAACACAAGAACUCCUUAACACCUGGAUGUCAAACACCAGUCCAUGCAACUGGACAGGAAUCACUUGCAGAAAUGAUAACCAUCUCAUGCAGACCAUCACCAAAAUCCAAUUAGCAGGAAUGGGAUUGGAGGGAAAGCUAGAGACUCUCAACUUCUUUGCUUUGCCUUCCGUUCGAGUUCUCGACCUCAGAGACAACCAUAUACAUGGAUCCAUCCCUGCAACCAUUUCAGCUCUCUCCAAGCUCUCUGCUCUUGGUCUCUCUAACAACAAUCUUACAGGCAUCAUCCCAUCAGAGCUUGGUAAUUUGACAAGGCUCAAGACUUUGGUGCUCUAUGAGAAUCAGAUAAGUGGCUCCUUACCUCCUUUUCUAGGAAAGCUUUUGAACCUGAAUUUCUUAGUCAUCUCCACAAAUUUCUUAGUUGGUUCCAUCCCUCAAGAGUUUGGAAACUUGACCAACCUCAAAGUUUUACACUUAUGGAGAAAUGGCCUUAAUGGUUCUAUUCCUCAUGAGAUUGGAAAUCUAGUAAACUUGAUAGAUUUUGAAAUAUCUCAAAACCAAAUAACUGGUCCCAUCCCACAUAGCAUUGGAAACCUGACCAAGCUUGAAACUCUCUACCUCUUUAGUAAUAACAUAAAUGGCUCCAUUCCAAGUGAAAUUGGCAAUCUAGUGAACUUGAUAGAUUUUGCAACAAAUGAAAAUCAAAUAACAAGUCCCAUUCCACAUAGCAUUGGAAACCUAACCAAACUUGAAACUUUUUACCUAAGUGACAAUGGCAUAAAUGGCUCCAUUCCUUAUGAGAUUGGGAAUCUACUAAACUUGAGAGAUUUUGAAAUAUUUGACAACCAAAUGAUUGGCCCCAUCCCACAUAGCAUUGGAAACCUAACCAAACUAGAAAUACUUUACCUAUAUGGUAAUAUAAUAAAUGGCUCUAUUCCUAGUGAAAUUGGGAGUAUAGUGAAUUUGAGAGAUUUUCAAAUGUAUGACAACAAAAUAACUGGUUCCAUUCCACAUAGCAUUGGAAACCUAAACAACCUUGAAAUUUUUUACCUACAUAACAAUAACAUAAAUGGGUUAUUGCCCAAUGAAAUGGUGAACCUCACAAAUCUAAUUGAUCUUCAAUUAGUCAAUAACAGCCUUUCUGGUAAUGUGCCAACAGAUUUAGCCAAAGGAGCGUUGCUUCAAUAUCUUUCUUUGGCAUACAAUAAUUUCCAAGGCCCCAUUCCAAUAAGUUUGAAAAAUUCAACAAAAUUAGUAAGGGUCCGGCUUGAAAGAAACCACUUCACUGGAGAUGUUUCUAAAAGUUUUGGUGUUCAUCCGCAAUUGGAUUUUAUUGAUCUAAGCUUUAACAGAUUGUCUGGCACUUUAUUACCAUCUUGGGGAGCAUGCCUUAACUUGACAAGCUUUACAAUAUCAAGCAAUAGAAUCAGUGGAGAAAUACCAUGGGAAAUAGUUCAAUUGCCAAAGCUGCAGCUACUUGACAUCUCUUCCAAUAAUUUGGUGGGAAAGAUCCCUAAAGCGUUUUAUAAAUUAUCUCACAUAUUUCAUUUGAACAUGAGCAACAAUCAUCUCACAGGAACCAUACCGAUAGAAUUUGGGAAUCUAUCUUCAUUAGAAGUUCUAGAUCUGUCAAGCAACAAUUUGAAAGGAGAAAUACCAGUACAGUUAGAAAAUUGCCUAAAAUUGGACUUACUCAAGUUGAGCAAUAAUGAGCUAAAUGGAUCCAUCCCUUUUCAACUAGGUAAUUUGAACUUGCAUCAAGUUCUUGACUUGAGUGAGAAUCUAUUCACAGGAGAAAUACCACUGCAACUUAGCAAGUUAAUAAUGUUGCAAGAGUUGAAUUUAUCAAAUAAUGAGUUGGUUGGUCGCAUUCCAUCUUCUUUUCAAUUAAUGACAGGCUUAGCAUCAUUGGAUGUAUCUUAUAAUCAUCUAGAAGGUCCAAUUCCAAAAAAUCAUUUCUUUCAAACAGCUCCCAUUAAGUGGUUUGCCCACAACAAGGGCUUAUGUGGUCAAGUGCAUGGUUUGCCUCCAUGUGACCAAUCCUGGUCAACAAGUAAAGGUGAUGCAAAGAAACAUCAUAAAAUCAUUAUCUUGAUAGCUAUUUUGGUAUUUGGAAUUUUAUUUAUCAUAUUUCUGGCAAUUGGAUUAUUCACAUUGCUUUAUUAUAAGAGAAAGAGAUCUACUAUGAAUGACACAAAGGAAGAAUUUGAUGGACAUUUUUUCUCCAUUUGGAGAGUCAAUCAUGGAAAGGAAGCAUACAAAGAGAUCAUUAGAGCAACAGAAAAUUUUGAUGAAAAGUAUCAGAUUGGUACCGGAGCUUAUAGCAUGGUCUAUAAAGCGACUCUAUCAUCUGGAAAAACACUUGCUAUUAAGAAAAUUCAAGAAGAAGAAGCCCAAGUGAAUGAACAAGCUUUCAAAAAUGAAAUACAAGCAUUAACUAAAAUUCGGCAUCGAAACAUUGUGAGGUUUUAUGGUUUCUGCUCUACAAAUAAAUUCAAUUUUCUUGCCUAUGAGUAUAUGGAGAGAGGAUGUCUACAUGCCACACUAAAAUCUGAACAGGAAGCAAUGAAAUUGGAUUGGAUCAAGAGAGCUGCCAUUAUAAGAGACAUUGCUCAAGCUUUGUCUUACUUGCAUCAUGAUUGUAUUCCACCUAUUGUUCAUCGAGACAUAACAAGCAACAAUGUUCUAUUGGAUGAAGAGUACAAGGCUUAUGUUUCGGACUUUGGUAUUUCUCGACUGCUAAAGCCUAAUUCAUCACAUUGGAGUUUACUUGCAGGCACAUACGGUUACAUGGCACCGGAGCUUGCCUAUAUAAUGAGAGUGACUGAAAAAUGUGAUGUAUAUAGUUUCGGAAUUCUAGCACUUGAAGUGAUACAUGGAACACAUCCCGGGGAUCUCCUAAGCAACUUAUCAUUGAGUAUGCUAGUAAAAGAUAUGCUAGAUCCACGUCUCCCCUUUCAUAUAGCUGAUCAAGCGACCACAAACCAAGUGCUUUCAGUGAUUUUAAUAGCAAUGCAAUGCAUCAAUACCGAUCCACAGGCUCGCCCUACAAUGCAACAAGCAUCUCAAAGGUUAUCUUCUCCAAAGUCUUUGCAAGCAUUUGACAUCUGCUCUUUUCCAACACUUACCCUUGAUUACCUCGAAAACAUUGUACAAGUGCAUAUUGACGAUCAAGUGCAUGGGUAAUAUGAACUGAGGUCAAAUUACUAAGCAUCCCAAAACUGCAGGCAUUGAAUCUCUGUGCUUCACCCAUAACCUAUGAAAAGGCACAACCAUAAUCACUCAAGCGAGGGUAAUCUUGACCUUGAGUUUUCAAAGCAGCCUUCUCUUCGUCAGUCUGUGUUGUUGUAAUGAACUCUCCUUUUAUCUUCACUAUUUGCCUAGGUAACUCAAGCAUGCUCUAUGGGUUGUGUACCUCAUGGCAUCGGAAAUUUGAAGUCUCUGAAAGGUUUGUGCUUAUCGAGCAAUCCAUUGCCAGUUCAAGGGUGGAUAACUUGAACUUCUUGUACUAAUGCAUAAUGAUUUCUGGGGCCUCAUUCCCAAGAAGUUUGAAAACUCCUCAAACUUAAUCAGAGUCCGACAUGAAAGAAAUAAAUUCACUGGAGAUAUCUCUGGAAGCUUUGGGGUUUAUCAGCAUUUAUUGUACAUUGAUAUAAGUUUUAACAGAAUACCUGGCAUCGUAUUGUCAUCUUCAGCAGAAUGUCUAAAUUUGAUGGAACUAUAUACCUUCUGAGUUCAGGUCCGGCCAGCAAGAUUGCAGAAGAAUUGAGGAACAAUAUCCAAGCAUCAAUACCAGCACAAGUUGGAAAACUGCACUGAAUUGCAUUCCUUGAAGUUGGGCAAUAAUAACUGAGUGGAGGCAUCACAUGCCAACUUGGCAAUUUAAAUUUGAAGGAACUACUAGACUUGAGCAACAAUUCAUUCGCUGGAUAUACGACCACAACUCGACAAAUUAACAGAUUUACAAGAACUGAAAAAAACUCUGGUUGGAUGGUCCAAUCACAAUGAAGGCUUUCGUGGUUGAGUACAAGAGUUGCCUGCGUGCUUUUCCUCUCCGAUGA